CAUAAGUAACGAUAAAGCGGGUGAAAAGCCCGCUCGCCGGAAGACCAAGGGUUCCUGUCCAACGUUAAUCGGGGCAGGGUGAGUCGACCCCUAAGGCGAGGCCGAAAGGCGUAGUCGAUGGGAAACAGGUUAAUAUUCCUGUACUUGGUGUUACUGCGAAGGGGGGACGGAGAAGGCUAUGUUGGCCGGGCGACGGUUGUCCCGGUUUAAGCGUGUAGGCUGGUUUUCCAGGCAAAUCCGGAAAAUCAAGGCUGAGGCGUGAUGACGAGGCACUACGGUGCUGAAGCAACAAAUGCCCUGCUUCCAGGAAAAGCCUCUAAGCAUCAGGUAACAUCAAAUCGUACCCCAAACCGACACAGGUGGUCAGGUAGAGAAUACCAAGGCGCUUGAGAGAACUCGGGUGAAGGAACUAGGCAAAAUGGUGCCGUAACUUCGGGAGAAGGCACGCUGAUAUGUAGGUGAAGUCCCUCGCGGAUGGAGCUGAAAUCAGUCGAAGAUACCAGCUGGCUGCAACUGUUUAUUAAAAACACAGCACUGUGCAAACACGAAAGUGGACGUAUACGGUGUGACGCCUGCCCGGUGCCGGAAGGUUAAUUGAUGGGGUUAGCGGUAACGCGAAGCUCUUGAUCGAAGCCCCGGUAAACGGCGGCCGUAACUAUAACGGUCCUAAGGUAGCGAAAUUCCUUGUCGGGUAAGUUCCGACCUGCACGAAUGGCGUAAUGAUGGCCAGGCUGUCUCCACCCGAGACUCAGUGAAAUUGAACUCGCUGUGAAGAUGCAGUGUACCCGCGGCAAGACGGAAAGACCCCGUGAACCUUUACUAUAGCUUGACACUGAACAUUGAGCCUUGAUGUGUAGGAUAGGUGGGAGGCUUUGAAGUGUGGACGCCAGUCUGCAUGGAGCCGACCUUGAAAUACCACCCUUUAAUGUUUGAUGUUCUAACGUUGGCCCCUGAUCGGGGUUGCGGACAGUGUCUGGUGGGUAGUUUGACUGGGGCGGUCUCCUCCUAAAGAGUAACGGAGGAGCACGAAGGUUGGCUAAUCCUGGUCGGACAUCAGGAGGUUAGUGCAAUGGCAUAAGCCAGCUUGACUGCGAGCGUGACGGCGCGAGCAGGUGCGAAAGCAGGUCAUAGUGAUCCGGUGGUUCUGAAUGGAAGGGCCAUCGCUCAACGGAUAAAAGGUACUCCGGGGAUAACAGGCUGAUACCGCCCAAGAGUUCAUAUCGACGGCGGUGUUUGGCACCUCGAUGUCGGCUCAUCACAUCCUGGGGCUGAAGUAGGUCCCAAGGGUAUGGCUGUUCGCCAUUUAAAGUGGUACGCGAGCUGGGUUUAGAACGUCGUGAGACAGUUCGGUCCCUAUCUGCCGUGGGCGCUGGAGAACUGAGGGGGGCUGCUCCUAGUACGAGAGGACCGGAGUGGACGCAUCACUGGUGUUCGGGUUGUCAUGCCAAUGGCACUGCCCGGUAGCUAAAUGCGGAAGAGAUAAGUGCUGAAAGCAUCUAAGCACGAAACUUGCCCCGAGAUGAGUUCUCCCUGACUCCUUGAGAGUCCUGAAGGAACGUUGAAGACGACGACGUUGAU
rnacentral:rRNA from 1 species